rnacentral:antisense_RNA from 12 species
CAUAAUUGAAUAUCACUUGAGGAUUUAAGGUAGGGUUAGAAAUAUAUCUAACAUCUCCUCCACCCGGAGCCCAUGUAUCAUAAACACCGCCAAAGAAUAAAGAUUUGAACACUAAUAAGAAGGCACCUACUCCUAAAAGAAUCGGGUGAAUUCCAAUAAUUGUUGUCAUUUUAUUCUUAUCACGCCA